GGGCCGGUAGUUCAGUCGGGAGAACGCCUGGUUCGCAAUCAGGAGGUCGGCGGUUCAAAUCCGCUCCGGUCCA
rnacentral:tRNA from 1 species